GGCGGGGCACGUUUCCGGAUUAUUGGGGCGUAAGCGAGCGCAGGCGGUUUUCUAAGUCUGAUGUGAAAGCCUUCGGCUUAACCGAAGAAGUGCAUCGGAAACUGGAUGACUUGAGUGCAGAAGAGGGCAGUGGAACUCCAUGUGUAGCGGUGGAAUGCGUAGAUAUAUGGAAGAACACCAGUGGCGAAGGCGGCUGCCUGGUCUGUAACUGACGCUGAGGCUCGAAAGCAUGGGUAGCGAACAGGAUUAGAUACCCUGGUAGUCCAUGCCGUAAACGAUGAGUGCUAGGUGUUGGAGGGUUUCCGCCCUUCAGUGCCGGAGCUAACGCAUUAAGCACUCCGCCUGGGGAGUACGACCGCAAGGUUGAAACUCAAAGGAAUUGACGGGGGCCCGCACAAGCGGUGGAGCAUGUGGUUUAAUUCGAAGCUACGCGAAGAACCUUACCAGGUCUUGACAUCUUGCGCCAACCCUAGAGAUAGGGCGUUCCCUUCGGGGACGCAAUGACAGGUGGUGCAUGGUCGUCGUCAGCUCGUGUCGUGAGAUGUUGGGUUAAGUCCCGCAACGAGCGCAACCCUUGUUACUAGUUGCCGGCUUUCAGUUGGGCACUCUAUUGAGACUGCCGGUGACAAACCGGAGGAAGGUGGGGACGACGUCAGAUCAUCAUGCCCCUUAUGACCUGGGCUACACACGUGCUACAAUGGACGGUACAACGAGUCGCGAACUCGCGAGGGCAAGCUAAUCUCUUAAAACCGUUCUCAGUUCGGACUGCAGUCUGCAACUCGACUGCACGAAGUCGGAAUCGCUAGUAAUCGCGGAUCAGCAUGCCGCGGUGAAUACGUUCCCGGGCCUUGUACACACCGCCAGUCACACCAUGGGAGUUUGCAAUGCCCAAAGUCGGUGGGGUAACCUUUGGAGCCAGCCGCCUAAGGCAGGGCAAGGGGCAAA
rnacentral:rRNA from 1 species